GCCAGACUCCUACGGGAGGCAGCAGUGGGGAAUAUUGCACAAUGGGCGAAAGCCUGAUGCAGCAACGCCGCGUGAAGGAAGAAGGCCUUCGGGUCGUAAACUUCUGUCCUUGGGGAAGAAGAACUGACGGUACCCAAGGAGGAAGCCCCGGCUAACUACGUGCCAGCAGCCGCGGUAAUACGUAGGGGGCAAGCGUUAUCCGGAAUUACUGGGCGUAAAGGGUGCGUAGGUGGUUUCUUAAGUCAGAGGUGAAAGGCUACGGCUCAACCGUAGUAGGCCUUUGAAACUGGGGAACUUGAGUGCAGGAGAGGAGAGUGGAAUUCCUAGUGUAGCGGUGAAAUGCGUAGAUAUUAGGAGGAACACCAGUGGCGAAGGCGACUUUCUGGACUGUACCUGACGCUGAGGCGCGAAAGCGUGGGUAGCGAACGGGAUUAGAUACCCGCGUACA
rnacentral:rRNA from 1 species